rnacentral:rRNA from 1 species
UUUUAUGGAGAGUUUGAUCCUGGCUCAGGAUGAACGCUGGCGGCGUGCCUAAUACAUGCAAGUCGAGCGAACGGACGAGAAGCUUGCUUCUCUGAUGUUAGCGGCGGACGGGUGAGUAACACGUGGAUAACCUACCUAUAAGACUGGGAUAACUUCGGGAAACCGGAGCUAAUACCGGAUAAUAUUUUGAACCGCAUGGUUCAAAAGUGAAAGACGGUCUUGCUGUCACUUAUAGAUGGAUCCGCGCUGCAUUAGCUAGUUGGUAAGGUAACGGCUUACCAAGGCAACGAUGCAUAGCCGACCUGAGAGGGUGAUCGGCCACACUGGAACUGAGACACGGUCCAGACUCCUACGGGAGGCAGCAGUAGGGAAUCUUCCGCAAUGGGCGAAAGCCUGACGGAGCAACGCCGCGUGAGUGAUGAAGGUCUUCGGAUCGUAAAACUCUGUUAUUAGGGAAGAACAUAUGUGUAAGUAACUGUGCACAUCUUGACGGUACCUAAUCAGAAAGCCACGGCUAACUACGUGCCAGCAGCCGCGGUAAUACGUAGGUGGCAAGCGUUAUCCGGAAUUAUUGGGCGUAAAGCGCGCGUAGGCGGUUUUUUAAGUCUGAUGUGAAAGCCCACGGCUCAACCGUGGAGGGUCAUUGGAAACUGGAAAACUUGAGUGCAGAAGAGGAAAGUGGAAUUCCAUGUGUAGCGGUGAAAUGCGCAGAGAUAUGGAGGAACACCAGUGGCGAAGGCGACUUUCUGGUCUGUAACUGACGCUGAUGUGCGAAAGCGUGGGGAUCAAACAGGAUUAGAUACCCUGGUAGUCCACGCCGUAAACGAUGAGUGCUAAGUGUUAGGGGGUUUCCGCCCCUUAGUGCUGCAGCUAACGCAUUAAGCACUCCGCCUGGGGAGUACGACCGCAAGGUUGAAACUCAAAGGAAUUGACGGGGACCCGCACAAGCGGUGGAGCAUGUGGUUUAAUUCGAAGCAACGCGAAGAACCUUACCAAAUCUUGACAUCCUUUGACAACUCUAGAGAUAGAGCCUUUCCCUUCGGGGGACAAAGUGACAGGUGGUGCAUGGUUGUCGUCAGCUCGUGUCGUGAGAUGUUGGGUUAAGUCCCGCAACGAGCGCAACCCUUAAGCUUAGUUGCCAUCAUUAAGUUGGGCACUCUAAGUUGACUGCCGGUGACAAACCGGAGGAAGGUGGGGAUGACGUCAAAUCAUCAUGCCCCUUAUGAUUUGGGCUACACACGUGCUACAAUGGACAAUACAAAGGGCAGCGAAACCGCGAGGUCAAGCAAAUCCCAUAAAGUUGUUCUCAGUUCGGAUUGUAGUCUGCAACUCGACUACAUGAAGCUGGAAUCGCUAGUAAUCGUAGAUCAGCAUGCUACGGUGAAUACGUUCCCGGGUCUUGUACACACCGCCCGUCACACCACGAGAGUUUGUAACACCCGAAGCCGGUGGAGUAACCUUUUAGGAGCUAGCCGUCGAAGGUGGGACAAAUGAUUGGGGUGAAGUCGUAACAAGGUAGCCGUAUCGGAAGGUGCGGCUGGAUCACCUCCUUUCUAA